AGCGAACGCUGGCGGCAGGCCUAACACAUGCAAGUCGAGCGCCGUAGCAAUACGGAGCGGCAGACGGGUGAGUAACGCGUGGGAACGUGCCCUUCGGUUCGGAAUAACUCAGGGAAACUUGAGCUAAAACCGGAUACGUCCGAAAGGAGAAAGAUUUAUCGCCGAAGGAUCGGCCCGCGUAAGAUUAGCUAGUUGGUGAGGUAACGGCUCACCAAGGCUCUGAUCUUUAGCUGGCUGAGAGGACGAUCAGCCACACUGGGACUGAGACACGGCCCAGACUCCUACGGGAGGCAGCAGUGGGGAAUAUUGGACAAUGGGCGCAGGCCUGAUCCAGCCAUGCCGCGUGAGUGAUGAAGGCCUUAGGGUUGUAAAGCUCUUUUGGCAGGGGACGAUAAUGACUGUACCUGCAGAAUAAGCCCCGGCCAACUUCGUGCCAGCCGCCGCAGU
rnacentral:rRNA from 1 species